AACCUGGCAUUUUCUCUAUGAAAACCUCUGGCAACGGAAUCUACGUUAGGUAAAUGACAACUACAGACCACACCAUUACGAACGCAGUAUAAGUACUGCACAGUAGUUCAUAAAUUUUACUGCACUUGCCUCUCACUACACGUACAAAAUUGCUUUGCAUUUCGGCGUAUUGAAAAUGAUGGCGAAGUUUUUCGUGGCAUUCCUCUGCUCACUAGCUUAUGUGAUACCCAACAAAUCCAUUGCAUAUGAAGGUAGUGGGAAUGCAUCAUGCAUAUACAAUGGUACAGAGUGGAAGCACAAUGAUUACAACCUUUCUUCUGAUCCGUGCGUGUUCCUUUGGUGUAUAAACGGCAACAUGACGAUUGAGGGGUGUGACCCGACGAUUCCCACAAACAGCGCCUAUGGCAACUGCAAAUAUGUCUCCCUUGGUGGACCUUUUCCUGAUUGUUGCCGGUAUACUCGGAUAUGCUAGUGCAUCGAAAUUGAUGGAAUUGUGCACCUAUAUAUGAGUGAAAACCCGAUAAUCCUUUAUUUUGUUUUUAUUGGUGAAUAAAAAUCCAAUAUGAGAAACACGA